UACGGAGGGUGCGAGCGUUGUCCGGAAUCACUGGGCGUAAAGGGCGCGUAGGUGGCUCGUGAAGCGUGCGGUGAAAGUCCGAGGCUCAACCUCGGAUCGGCCGUGCGGACUCGCGGGCUCGAGCGUUGUAGAGGCGGGUGGAAUUCCGGGUGUAGCGGUGGAAUGCGUAGAGAUCCGGAAGAACACCGGUGGCGAAGGCGGCUCACUGGCUCGUAACUGACGCUCAUGCACGACAGCGUGGGGAUCAAACAGG
rnacentral:rRNA from 1 species